CUGAUCUUUUCCUCUUUGCGACCGGGGAAGGGAGCUUUUGAUGUUAGCGGUAAACUUUGCAUUUGCUGUGUGCGUUAAUCAGAACCAGUGCCGCGAUUUCUAAGAUAAAGAUAGUGACUUAAUCAGUGCUUUUCCUGAUGACUUUAGUUUCCAAGGCUACCUAUGCAAACGUCCUGAUCAUCAUCAUGUAGGUUAUCGAUCAUGCCGUCGCCGAGUAAGGCCUCCUACCUCAGCACAGUGUUGCCAGAUCAUCGACCCAUAACCCCACAGGGUUUGGUGGAUAACUCCCAGAUAUAAAGGAUUACUAUUUGGAGGUUUUGAAAAUAUGUACAGGUGGAAAGAUGUGGCUUCAAAAGUUUGGAUCAAUCAGGAAGAUGCUUUAAUUGAUUGCUCAGCAAGAAUUACAGGUAUGUGAACUACUUUACAAGUUCAUUUAAAAGUUAGUUAUUUUCCUAACAAGAAAAUAUACUCUACAUCAGUUAUAUUCACCACAAGUGUCUUCAACUUGUUACUGUGAAAUUGGGUUACCUCUCAAAACAUUUUUAAAUCUGGUAUUAUAAUUGUGUUAUUACUCCUGUUGCAAGAUGUGGUUCUAGUUCCUUCUCCAUCCACUCACAUCUGCUUUCCUCAGUUUUACAUUUGCUCCAGCUGUUUCUCCAUAUGCUCAUGUUGUACUUUUCUCUCAUACAUGUGCUGAUUUACUGAUCUGGUUAGGUCUGCUACUUCCACCACAAGUGUUUCUGGUUACUUCAAAGGAACAUAAGUUUUCUUAUACAUACCAAGACAAAGGAACAAAGGUCUGAAAGGUCGAGAGAAAUAAACCAUCUGAAGAUACUUAUGGCUGUGAAGAUAGAAUUGAUUUGAUGACUGUCUAAAAUGAAGUAUGGCCGCUUCAUACAUAACAUAAUCAUGCUUGCUGGCACAUAGGAUGGCCCUUCUCGGUGGGACUGUAAUCAUGACCACCACACCAUUUUUGGGGAAAAAACUUUUGAACAUCAUGACCUUCAACUUAGGAAUAUGGUGCCCCAUGUCAUUACUGUUCACUGGACUUCUAACUUGGCUGAUGCUCUUUCUGAUUAAGCUUUCUUUUAGAUAACUUCUGGAGGAAGAAUAAUUACAGAUGCUCUACCCAAUAAAUUUUUAAACAUCUUGCUUUCACCAGGUUGGUGUCUCCACCAUUUUUUUCUCAUCUUUAUUCUAUGCCUCUUCUUAGAUUAGUUUUUUUCAAGAACUGGCUGAUCUCCACUGGAGGAUCUUGUAGUUACAGGAACCUCUUCCAUAGUUCCAAGAAGUUUAUGUUUCUGGUCUUAAAGUCUGAUUAAAGCUUUUACUUUUAAUUUACCAAAAGUCCAGGUUUGUAAAACUCUACCAUCCUUACUUUACCCCUUUUGUUGCUGUCUGGAAGGCAAAAAGUGGAGUUUGGCUGGAACUUGCAUUAUCCCAUUUGUCAAUGGCUAGUGAUUUCAAGGCCAAAAUAGUUUUCACAACCAGAAGAUCUGCUCACCCCACAUGAACCUAAGCAUGGAGGGAUCUAGAAAUAGUUAUACUUAAAAUUGAGAUAUGACAUAAAAUGCCAUCUUUUGACUUAAAUCAACUAAAGGUAUUGUCUCCAUAAUGAGAAAUUUGAAUUGAAGUGUAUUUGCAUUUGGUUUCUAAACUACUGGCUUAUGCCCUCCAGUUGUUAAACAAAAAUCCAGCUAUAGAAAUCCAGCAAGUCUUAUAAUUUCUUUAUUGCCUCUUUGUUAUUCAUGCUCACUACCUCUACUCCACAUUGCAUAACUUCCAUGGAGAUCAAACCCCAAACUUGGCUGGUUUAGUUGGUAAAAAAGAAAAAAAAACUGACAUUAGGUGGACACUGUUUAGUACAGUACCUGAAAAUUUGAAUCAGU